rnacentral:rRNA from 1 species
GACGAACGCUGGCGGCGUGCUUAACACAUGCAAGUCGAACGGUGAAGGGGCCUGCUUUUGUGGGCCCUGGAUGAGUGGCGAACGGGUGAGUAACACGUGAGUAACCUGCCCCCUUCUUCUGGAUAACCGCAUGAAAGUGUGGCUAAUACGGGAUAUUCUGGGUCUGUCGCAUGAUGGGUCUGGGAAAGAUUGCGCCUUUGGGUGUUUUUGGUGGGGGAUGGGCUCGCGGCCUAUCAGCUUGUUGGUGGGGUGAUGGCCUACCAAGGCGGUGACGGGUAGCCGGCCUGAGAGGGUGGACGGUCACACUGGGACUGAGACACGGCCCAGACUCCUACGGGAGGCGGCAGUGGGGAAUAUUGCACAAUGGGCGCAAGCCUGAUGCAGCGACGCCGCGUGAGGGAUGGAGGCCUUCGGGGUGUAAACCUCUUUCGCCAGUGAAGCAGGCCUGCUCCUUGUGGGUGGGUUGACGGUAGCUGGAGAAGAAGCGCCGGCUAACUACGUG